rnacentral:rRNA from 1 species
UACGUAGGGAGCAAGCGUUGUCCGGAAUCAUUGGGCGUAAAGCGCGCGUAGGUGGCCUCAUAAGUCCGUUGUGAAAGUCAAAGGCUCAACCUUUGAAAGCCGAUGGAUACUGUGAGUCUAGAGUACGGAAGAGGCGAGUGGAAUUCCUGGUGUAGCGGUGGAAUGCGCAGAUAUCAGGAGGAACACCAAUAGCGAAGGCAGCUCGCUGGGACGUACUGACACUGAGGCGCGAAAGCGUGGGGAGCAAACAGG